GGCAGAGUAGCCAAGUGGUUACGGCGCUGGCCUGCUAAUUCCCAAUCGGGGUUAACAGUUAAGCCAGUCCCUUCGGGGGCGCGUGUUCGAAUCACGUCUCUGUCG
rnacentral:tRNA from 1 species